AUUGAACGCUGGCGGCAUGCUUUACACAUGCAAGUCGAACGGCAGCGCGGGCUUCGGCCUGGCGGCGAGUGGCGAGCGGGUGAGUAAUACAUCGGAACGUGCCCAGCAGUGGGGGAUAGCUCGGCGAAAGCCGGAUUAAUACCGCAUACGACCUGAGGGUGAAAGCGGGGGAUCUUCGGACCUCGCGCUAUUGGAGGGGCCGAUGGCAGAUUAGCUAGUUGGUGGGGUAAAGGCCUACCAAGGCGACGAUCUGUAGCUGGUCUGAGUGGACGACCAGCCACACUGGGACUGAGACACGGCCCAGACUCCUACGGGAGGCAGCAGUGGGGAAUUUUGGACAAUGGGCGAAAGCCUGAUCCAGCAAGGCCGCGUGUGUGAUGAAGGCCUUCGUGUUGUAAAGCACUUUUGGCGGGAACGAAAAGGACUGUGCCAAUACCACGGUUCAAUGACGGUACCCGCAGAAUAAGCACCGGCUAACUACGU
rnacentral:rRNA from 1 species